GUAGGCUUGAUAUGCCUCCUCCUCAAAUGCUCGAUCCUCAGCGAUAGGGUCAUCCUGAAUAGGAGCUGCCCACCCUCUCCGUGCCGAAGCUGUAGGUCGUCUCCUAGCUAAACCUUGUGCAGAACUCUCUCCUCGAGAACUUUGUUCUCGAAAACUCUCUCCUCGAGAACUCUCCCCACGAGAACUAAAAGAUGCACCUCGUGUUCUU
rnacentral:lncRNA from 1 species